GACGAACGCUGGCGGCGUGCUUAACACAUGCAAGUCGAACGGAAAGACCCUGCUUUUGUGGGGUUCUCGUGUGGCGCACGGGUGAGUAACACGUGAGUAACCUGCCCUUGUCUUUGUGAUAACUUCAGGAAACUCGGGCUAAUACCGGAUAGGAUCUCCUGCUGCAUGGUGGGGGUUGGAAAGUUUCGGCGGUUGUGGAUGGACUCGCUGCUUAUCAGCUUGUUUGUGGGGUAGUGGCUUACCAAGGCUUAGACGGGUAGCCGGCCUGAGAGGGGGACCGGCGACAUUGGGACUGAGAUACGGACCAGAAUGGUACGGGACGCAGUAGGGGGGAAUAUGGCACAGUGGGCGGAAGCGUGAGGCAGCAACGCCGGGAGCGGGAUGACGGCCUUCGGGUUGUAAACAGAUGUGGAAUGUGACGAAGCGGGAGUGACGGUAAUGGGUAAAGAAGCACCGGCUAACUACGUG
rnacentral:rRNA from 1 species